AUGCCACGAUUGCGUCCAGACAACUUGCAUGUUGCCUGCUGGUGCCCUGGGUGUCAAUGCCAAUCUCGACCUGGAGGGAAACUCUCUGAUGAGAUGGAAGGUGACCUGAUUGGUGGGUCCCAUCGGGCCCCAUUGCUCAGUGGGGAAAGGAAAAGAGAAAAAUAUCUUUUGUUGCGAAACAGAGAAAAAAAAAGAAAUAGGUGGGGGAGACCGACUAGACCCGGUUCAGCCCAGUUUGGUUUGGGUUGCCUCCUCCUCUCUCCUAUUUCUUGUAUUCCUUUCAUUCCUUGGAUUUUAAAGGGCUAG
rnacentral:rRNA from 1 species